ensembl:lncRNA
CAGGGCCUGAGUCAGCAGCAGGCAGCGUGGCCCCAGGCCCUGGGGCAUCCAGUCAGCCCCCUCCCAGGGUAGAGGGCCAGCACCCCAUCCCUGUGGCCCCUUCUGGGCCAGAGCGCCAUCUUCAGCGCACCUUAGCCUGUGAAGCUCCAGGCCAAGAUUGCUGACAGUGAAAGGCACGACCUUAAGUGUACUCUUCUGUGCGUUUUGACAAAUGCAAUCAUUUGCGUAACCAAAGCACCAUUAAGACGUGGAACACGAAUUUGUUUCUUUUGAACUCUGAGUCACACUGCAUCUUUCUCAGGACUUUUGGGGGAAACUCCCGCCGGUCGCCAGGGCAAGAAUCCAUGUCAUCUUGCUUCCCUCUUAGCUCUGGCCGCUUGGAAAUUCUGAGACGCUUGUGGCCGGCCUCCAGCCCGCGCACAGGACGUGAGUUAUGCAUUUCUGUCGUCUUACGCUCCCUUCUCCCCAGUUACCUUGUCUGUUAUUUUUAAAUCCUGCUGAAGUAUAUACAACUCUACAAGCGGGUUCUCAAAUCCUUUUUUUGGAACAAGACUGAAGGAGUACUGCAUAAAUAAUCAUAUUGGAAUUUUCAGGAUAUUUCAAUGGUUUGUGGUGUCCAAAUAUGUGAAAUUGAGGCUGUUCCAGUAAAUCUGGAAUGAAUUGACACUCUAUGCACAGAGUACGGACCUGUGUGUACAGUAUGCAUAUGUACGCACACACACGCACACAUGAAUUCUUUUCUUGGUCCAGACAGUGGCACUGGCAGUAAAACUAUCAAUUCCAAACCGAAAGAGCCCACUCAGCACUGGCCUGGCUGCCCAGGAUCCUGCAGGGCAGAAGUUGGGGAACAGAUGGUGGUCUGAAUGGUGACCUUGGAUGGCUGGAGGCCGGCGCCUGUGAACAAGUGAUGAUGCUGCUGGCAAGUCUGGAACCAGGCUGCGAAGCGGCCUGUGCUUCCCCAUCAGAGAUCUUUGGUCCAAGCUCUUCUGCUGGUGAUUUCCUGGGUCCUGACUUGCAUUUUCUCCCCUCAUCCCCGCUCGUGGGGAGCCCUGAGCCAGCUGCCAAGGACCCCGGCCAAGCCUUCGGGUUCCAGUUCCUGAAGGGUGGAGAGGAUGUCAUCCUCCUGUGUAUGCAGUUUUGCAUCCUGUUGUCUUGGUUUCACUUAAGAUCGUCAACAUUUCACAUGUGCUGUAUGGUAGGCAGCUUCUAAGAUGGCUGCCACUGGUCCAGAUGGGCUUCAGGACUCACUAGGCCCGAAAUAUGGCACCUGGGCAUAUCAAACACUUGAAGCUGAAGGGAGUUGAGAAAAAGGGAGGUCUCUCUGACCUCCCCCCUGCCCUUCUCCCCUGAAACAGGUCACAAACGGUCACAUUUGUGGCAUCUUCCUUGUACUGGAAGAAAGGACCACCCUUAUCUCGGAGGAAAAGGGAUGCCAAGAAGGAUCUGAACAAGCAGGGCUUGCUAGGUCUCCCCCUGGUGGAGCACUCACCUCGUCUUCCUGCCCUCUGGUGUUCCCACACGGCAAACCCAGCAUCGAAAUCCUCAGGCCUGUUUCUUCGGGUCUUCAUUUCUCUAUGAAGGCUCCUGUGUCGUGUAAUAAAUUAUUAAUAAAUGUGCAUAGUUUUCUUCUGUUAGUCUGUCUUUGUUCAGUUUAGUUUUCAGACUCCGCUGGAGACCCU